AAAAUAAAGAAAAUAAGAAAGGGCGUAUAGGGAAUGCCUUGGCUCUCAUAGUCGAAGAAGGACGUGACAAGCUGCGAUAAGCUCCGGGGAAGUGCUAAUAACUGGUGAUCCGGAGAUUUCCGAAUGGGGAAACCCGUGGCGCUGAAGGCGCCACACUCCGAUGCAAAUCGGAGAGGCAACCUGCUGAACUGACACAUCUAAGUAAGCAGAGGAAGAGAAAACAAUAGUGAUUUCCUUAGUAGCGGCGAGCGAAACGGAAAUAGCCCAAAACUGUUUAGUUUCGGCUAAACAGUGGUUGCAGGACCUCAAUAUGAAGAUAAAAUUCAACUUGAAUUAUUCUGGAAAGGUAAGCGAUACAGGGUGAUAGCCCCGUAAAGGUUAGAUUUUAUCGGAUAGAGGUAUCCUAAGUACUGCGGGACAUGUGAAAUCCUGUAGGAAUCUGCCAGAACCAUCUGGUAAGGCUAAAUACUAAUGAGAGACCGAUAGUGAACCAGUACCGCGAGGGAAAGGUGAAAAGUACUUCGAACAGAAGGGUGAAAUAGUACCUGAAACUAUACGCUUACAAGCUGUAGGAGAUGAAAAUUAUCCGGGCAACCGGUAUAAUGAGUAAUUGACUGCGUGCCUUUUGCAUAAUGAGCCUACGAGUUACUCCUCUCUAGCAAGGUUAAUCCCGACACUGUCGGGAGGAGCCGUAGCGAAAGCGAGUCUGAAUAGGGCGCUUUAGUUAGAGGGGGUAGACGCGAAACUUUGUGAUCUACCCAUGGUCAGGAUGAAGGUCUGGUAACACAGACUGGAGGUCCGAACAAGUA
rnacentral:rRNA from 1 species